UUUGAGCUGAGUCUGGAACUGCGGGUGUGACGGCCGCGGCGGCUUGAAGGCAUGGGGAGAGCUGCUUGGUUAUAGUCUGCACUCCGGGAUGUGCAGGCCGGGAGCUUCAUGCAGGCUGAUGGGGAGAAGGAGAAGCCUGUGAAACGGGGUGACGGCGGAGACCAGCCCGGGCGGGGACCGGGACUGGAAAAGAGCCUGAGCAGCC
rnacentral:lncRNA from 1 species